AGUUGGUGAGGCAAUGGCUCACCAAGCCUUUUACCGGUGCGGGCCGUGAGAGCGGGAGCCCGGGGAUGGGCACUGAGACAAGGGCCCAGGCCCCACGGGGCGCAGCAGUCGCGAAAACUUUGCAAUACACGAAAGUGUGACAGGGCUAUCCCGAGUGCCAUCCGCUGAGGAAGGCUUUUACCCAGUAUAAAUAGCUGGGAGAAUAAGGAGAGGGCAAGUCUGGUGUCAGCCGCCGCGGUAAUACCAGCUCUCCGAGUAGUGUGGACGUUUAUUGGGCCUAAAGCAUCCGUAGCUUGCUAGAUAAGUCCUCUGUUAAAUCCACCGAUUCAAUCGUUGGAUUGCGGGGGAUACUGUUUGGCUAGGGGACGGGAGAGGUCGACGGUAUUUCCGGGGUAGGGGUGAAAUCCUAUAAUCCCGGGAAGACCACCAGUGGCGAAGGCUGUCGACUAGAACGCGCCCGACGGUGAGGGAUGAAAGCUGGGGGAGCGAACCGGAUUAGAUACCCGGGUAGUCCCAGCUGUAAACGAUGCAGGCUAGGUGUUUGGGCGGCCACGAGCCGCCCUAGUGCCGCAGGGAAGCUGUUAAGCCUGCCGCCUGGGGAGUACGGCCGCAAGGCUGAAACUUAAAGGAAUUGGCGGGGGAGCACCACAAGGGGUGAAGCUUGCGGUUUAAUUGGAGCAACGCCGGAAAUCUCACCGGGAUCGACAGCAGUAUGAAGGCCAGAUUAAAGGUCUUGCUAGACGAGCUGAGAGGAGGUGCAUGGCCGUCGCCAGUUCGUGCCGUGAGGUGUCCUGUUAAGUCAGGCAACGAUCGAGACCCGCGUCCUCUGUUGCUACUGGUUCUGUGCCAGGCACACUGAGGAGACCGCCGCUGAUAAAGCGGAGGAAGGAGCGGGCCACGGCAGGUCAGUAUGCCCCGAAUAUCCCGGGCCACACGCGAGCUGCAAUGGCAGGUACAAUGGGUUCCGACCUCGUAAGGGGAAGGCAAUCUCGAAAGCCUGCCGUAGUUGGGAUCGAGGGUUGAAACUCACCCUCGUGAACAUGGAAUCCCUAGUAAUCGCGUGUCACUAGCGCGCGGUGAAUACGUCCCUGCUCCUUGCACACACCGCCCGUCGUUCCACCCGAGCGACUCCUGGGUGAGGCGUGGUCUUCCUUGGCUGCGUCGAAUCUGGGUUUCGCAAGGGGGGAAAAGUCGUAACAAGGUG
rnacentral:rRNA from 1 species